rnacentral:rRNA from 1 species
GACGAACGCUGGCGGCGUGCUUAACACAUGCAAGUCGAACGGAAAGGCCCUGCUUUUGUGGGGUGCUCGAUUGGCGAACGGGUGAGUAACACGUGAGUAACCUGCCCUUGACUUUGGGAUAACUUCAGGAAACUGGGGCUAAUACCGGAUAGGAGCUCCUGCUGCAUGGUGGGGGUUGGAAAGUUUCGGCUGUUGGGGAUGGACUCGCGGCUUAUCAGCUUGUUGGUGGGGUAGUGGCUUACCAAGGCUUUGACGGGUAGCCGGCCUGAGAGGGUGACCGGCCACAUUGGGACUGAGAUACGGCCCAGACUCCUACGGGAGGCAGCAGUGGGGAAUAUUGCACAAUGGGCGGAAGCCUGAUGCAGAAACGCCGCGUGCGGGAUGACGGCCUUCGGGUUGUAAACCGCUUUCGAAUGUGACGAAGCGUGAGUGACGGUAAUGGGUAAAGAAGCAACGGCUAACUACGUG